CUCACUUUGGCAUCAGAUAUACUAAAACUGAGACAACACAGAAAAGAUUAAUAUGGCCCCUUUGCAAAGAUGACAUGAAAAUUAAUGAAAUGUUCCAAAUUUUA